UGCUACAGCCAUUUCACUCUGCAGCCCGAGACCGGUUACUCGCUAAAGCAGGGCUGAGCCUGGUCAGUACCUGGAUGGGAGACCGCAUGGGAAAACUAGGUUGCUGUUGGAG
rnacentral:rRNA from 1 species